GACGAACGCUGGCGGCGUGCUUAACACAUGCAAGUCGAGCGAACAGACGAGGAGCUUGCUCCUUUGACGUUAGCGGCGCAUGGGAGAGUAACACGAGGAUAAACUACCUAUAAGACUGGGAAAAUCUCGGGAAACCGGAGCUAAUACCGGAUAAUAUAUUGAACCGCAUGGUUAAAUAGUGAAAGACGGCUUUGCUGUCACUUAUCGAUGGAUCCGCGCUGCUUUAGCUAGUUGGUGAGGUAACGGCUUAUCAGGGCAACGAUGCGUAACCGACUUGAGAGGGUGGUCGGCCACACUGGAACUGAGACGCAGUCCAGACUCCUACGAUAGGCAGCAGUAGGGAAUCCUCCGCAGUGGGCGAGAGCUUGACGGAGCGACGCCGCGUGAGUGGUGAAGAUGUUCAGAUCGUAAAGCUCUGUUAUUAGGGGUGAACUAAUGUGUAAGUAGCUGUACACUUCUUGACGGUACCUGAUCAGAAAGCCACGGCUAACUACGUG
rnacentral:rRNA from 1 species